UACGUAGGGCGCGAGCGUUGUCCGGAUUUAUUGGGCGUAAAGGGCUCGUAGGCGGUUUGUCGCGUCGGGAGUGAAAACCCAGGGCUUAACCCUGGGCUGGCUUCCGAUACGGGCAGACUAGAGGUAUGCAGGGGAGAACGGAAUUCCUGGUGUAGGCGGUGGAAGUGCGCAGAUAUCAGGAGGAACACCGGUGGCGAAGGCGGUCUCUGGGCAUUACCUGACGCUGAGGAGCGAAAGUGUGGGGAGCG
rnacentral:rRNA from 1 species